rnacentral:rRNA from 1 species
GUUAGGAAUAUUGGACAAUGGGCGAAAGCCUGAUCCAGCCAUGCCGCGUGAACGAUGAAGGCCUUCGGGUUGUAAAGUUCUUUAGCCGAUGAUUAUAAUGACUGUAGUCGGAAAAUAAGCCCCGGCUAACUUCGUGCCAGCAGCCGCGGUAAUACGAAGGGGGCGAGCGUUAUUCGGAAUCACUGGGCGUAAAGCGUGCGUAGGCGGUUUUGUGAGUUAGGAGUGAAAGCCCAGGGCUCAACCUUGGAAUUGCUCUUAAAACUGCAAGGCUCGAAGCUCGGAGAGGAUAGCGGAAAUUCCAGUGUAGCAGUGAAAUGCGUAGAUAUUGGAAGGAACACCAGUGGCGUAAGCGGCUAUCUGGACGAGUAUUGACGCUGAGGCACGAAAGCGUGGGGAUCAAACAGGAUUAGAAACCCCUGUAGUCC